rnacentral:rRNA from 1 species
CUAGUAACUGCGAGUGAAGCGGGAAGAGCUCAAAUUUAAAAUCUGGCGUCUUCGGCGUCCGAGUUGUAAUUUAGAGAAGCGUUUUCCGCGCCGGACCGUGUACAAGUCUCCUGGAACGGAGCGUCAUAGAGGGUGAGAAUCCCGUCUUUGACACGGACCCCCGGUGCUCUGUGAUACGCUCUCGAAGAGUCGAGUUGUUUGGGAAUGCAGCUCAAAAUGGGUGGUGAACUCCAUCUAAAGCUAAAUAUUGGCGAGAGACCGAUAGCGAACAAGUACCGUGAGGGAAAGAUGAAAAGCACUUUGGAAAGAGAGUGAAACAGUACGUGAAAUUGUUGAAAGGGAAACGCUUGAAGUCAGUCGCGUCCGCCGGGAUUCAGCCUCACGGUGUACUUCCUGGUGGACGGGCCAGCAUCACUUUUGAUCAUCGGAAAAGGGCGAGAGGAAUGUGGCACCUCCGGGUGUGUUAUAGCCUCUUGUCGUAUACGGUGACCGGGAGUGAGGACCGCCUUUGUAGGAUGCUGGCGUAAUGGCUUUAAACGACCCGUCUUGAAACACGGACCAAGGAGUCUAACAUGCCCGCGAGUGUUCGGGUGGAAAACCCGUGCGCGUAAUGAAAGUGAAAGUUGGGAAGGCUGUCGUGGCCUGCACCGACGCCCGGACUUGAGAUUUAUCGAAGGUUCUGCGGUAGAGCGUGUAUGUUGGGACCCGAAAGAUGGUGAACUAUGCCUGAAUAGGGUGAAGCCAGAGGAAACUCUGGUGGAGGCUCGUAGCGAUUCUGACGUGCAAAUCGAUCGUCAAAUUUGGGUAUAGGG